rnacentral:rRNA from 1 species
GACGAACGCUGGCGGCGUGCCUAAUACAUGCAAGUAGGACGCACAGUUUAUACCGUAGCUUGCUACACCAUAGACUGUGAGUUGCGAACGGGUGAGUAACGCGUAGGUAACCUGCCUAUUAGAGGGGGAUAACUAUUGGAAACGAUAGCUAAUACCGCAUAACAGUAUGUAACACAUGUUAGAUGCUUGAAAGAUGCAAUUGCAUCGCUAGUAGAUGGACCUGCGUUGUAUUAGCUAGUAGGUAGGGUAAUGGCCUACCUAGGCGACGAUACAUAGACGACCUGAGAGGGUGAUCGGCCACACUGGGACUGAGACACGGCCCAGACUCCUACGGGAGGCAGCAGUAGGGAAUCUUCGGCAAUGGGGGGAACCCUGACCGAGCAACGCCGCGUGAGUGAAGAAGGUUUUCGGAUCGUAAAGCUCUGUUGUUAAGGAAGAACGAGUGUGAAAAUGGAAAGUUCAUACUGUGACGGUACUUAACCAGAAAGGGACGGCUAACUACGUGCCAGCAGCCGCGGUAAUACGUAGGUCCCGAGCGUUGUCCGGAUUUAUUGGGCGUAAAGCGAGCGCAGGCGGUUAGAAAGGUCUGAAGUGAAAGGCAGUGGCUCAACCAUUGUAGGCUUUGGAAACUGUUUAACUUGAGUGCAGAAGGGGAGAGUGGAAUUCCAUGUGUAGCGGUGAAAUGCGUAGAUAUAUGGAGGAACACCGGUGGCGAAAGCGGCUCUCUGGUCUGUAACUGACGCUGAGGCUCGAAAGCGUGGGGAGCGAACAGG